rnacentral:rRNA from 1 species
GUAAGCCUCAUUGCGAGAUAAAGGGAGGUAGAGCACUGAAUGGUCGCGGGGCGCACUGCGUUACCAACACCUAUCAAACUUCGAAUUCCGUUUAUUACCAAUGGGAGUGAGACUAUGUGGGAUAAGCUUCAUAGUCAAAAGGGAAACAGCCCAGAUCAUCAGCUAAGGUCCCUAAAUGACGUUCAGUGGGAAAGGAUGUAAUCUUACUUGGACAACCAGGAUGUUGGCUUAGAAGCAGCCAUACAUUUAAAGAGUGCGUAAUAGCUCACUGGUCGAGUGAGGUCGCGCCGAAGAUACACGGGGCUAAACGUCAUACCGAAGCUAUGGGAUGGAUUGAGACAAAAAGUAAUUGAU